GUAAUUAGUUAAAUUUCUAUUUAACAAAUAGAA
rnacentral:tRNA from 1 species